UACGAGGGGGGCGAGCGUUGUUCGGAAUUAUUGGGCGUAAAGGGUGCGUAGGCGGUUCCGCAAGUCCUGUGUGAAAUCUUCGGGCUCAACUCGAAGUCUGCACGGGAAACUGCGGGGCUUGAGUGUGGGAGAGGUGAGUGGAAUUCCCGGUGGAGCGGUGAAAUGCGUAGAGAUCCGGAGGAACACCGACGGCGAAGGCAGCCUUCUGGAAAGUACCUGACGCUGAGGGGCGAAAGCUAGGGGAGCGAACGGG
rnacentral:rRNA from 1 species